rnacentral:lncRNA from 1 species
CUACGCUGAUCACCUCACUGACAAACCCUCCUUCUUUAUCUUCUCUUUUCUCCUCUCCCACUUCUGCUCCUCCAAGUCUGUCCAUAUCUCUCUCCACGCGACUCCUACUAUCCCCGCACUUCCUCAUGAUGACCUCUCCUUCCGCUUCUCUCAUUCCUUCUCAUCUAUAUUUUUCCCUCAUCGUCUUCCUCCAAGCUCAUCCACAACCUCUCCUUCCUCCUCCUCUUCACCCAUUCUCCUCUUUCUCUUCCUCCAAGCCUGCUCAUGAUGACCACUCCAUGAUGGCUCCCUCCAACUUUGCCCUUCUUUGCCGGCAUCCCCUUUUUCUUUCUCCUCUCUUUCCUCAUCAUCUUUCUUCUCCUCUAAGUCCACCCAUGAGUGCUCUCCCUUCUUCCCCCUCCUCUUCCUCCUAAUCCAUUCUCCUCCUCUUCCAAUCCCACCUGUGAAACUUUUGAUGCCAUCCUCCCAUUCUAUGCCGACCUCUACGAUCCCAUUCUCUCCCUCCAAUGGCAACUCCCUCCACUUUCAUCCCUUCUUU